rnacentral:lncRNA from 1 species
AAAAUUUCAGGGACCAAAGUGCAAUUACUAUAAGGACCUACAUGAAAGAAAUUUUAAAUGUUUUGGGUCGCAGUAAAACUACUCCAAAGAUCAGGGGCUAAAGCACAAAUCGUAACCAGAUCUUCUUAAGAAAACAGGCCACUGGGCCAUUAUUUAUUUCUUUGGACCGAAAACUACCUAAGCCCAGCCGAAAGUCCAAGCCAAAACACACAGGCCAGCCCGUCUUCUAUCACUCAAACCCAACCAAAAAUAAAGCAUGGGUCUGACCUUCUAGCCCAAAUCGAAACACAAAAGAAAUAAACCAAAACCCAUUUCCAAAACCCAAUCAAAACUAACUCUUGGCCCAACCGAAGAUAAAACAUUAGCCCAAACCAUUUUUCUUUCUUUUCUUUUCUUUCUUUUCUUUCUCCUCUUCUUCUUCUUUUCUUUCUUCUUCUUCCACCGACAAGCUGAAGCUUCUCCUUGCUGGCGGCGCCAUCACCGGACCGCCGCUGGCGACCUCUCCGGUCACCAAAUUUUCUCAAAAUACACCUCCUAACUCGAUUUUUCGCGUAGGUUCCAUUUUCGGAGUUAUUUUUUACAAAAAAGGAAAGAAAAGUGGUCAAAUGACCAAAAAACAGUCACGGUUUUAUUUUUUUUUAACCCCUUAAACCUUCACAAAAAAUCUUGAAAAUUAUACUACAACACUCUUACAACUUCUACAAUACAACUAUGAUUUUUAUUUGACAAGAAACAACAUAAAAAGGCAAAAUUAAAGCAAAAAACAGCCCCUAAAUGAAGAAAAAUACUUCCAUGCCUUUAAAGCUCAAAACUCCAAAAUAUUUAGAUAACCCAACAUUUUCAGAUCUUUGCUAGCUAAUGGUCAUCCAUUUGAGCAAAACAUACACGCCAAAUUCACUCCUUUGAUUCGUUUUUUCAUUUAGACAUUUUUUCAAACAUUUGGCAUGCAUUCCCAGCUCCGCUUCUUUUUUCCUUAAUUUUAUGCAGGCUUGUCCCAAAAACUUCAAUAACACCACAAUAACAAAAUCAGUGAAAGAAAGAGACAAAUAAGUAACCAAACAUGCAUUUAAUCUAAUUAAUUAAAAAAAGAAAAACUGGAAAAAAUACCUCAAUGAGGGUUAUGGUCCCUUGACCAAAAUUUGAGGAAGUUCCAAGCUCUAAUUGUCCAACCGAUAGCUGUCCCCUUUUUUUUGUUCUUGUUUGAAGUUGUGUGUGAGUGUGUUGGGAACCAAAGAAAGGCCCGAGAGUGGGGAGUGGAGAAUGCUUCUUUUGUUUAUUUCCUCUUUUGAGGGAGAGAGCCGAGAUGAAUGGAGAUUUUCUUUUUUUUUUUUUGUGGCUUCUCUGAUGAUGGAGAGAGCCGAGAGUCAGAGUGAGGGAGAUUGAGUGCCUUUUUUUUCUUCUUGUCUGUUCCGUUUUUUAGCCCCGAGAGAGCCGAGAGAGUGAGUAUUGGGAGAGAAGAAGAGGAGUUUGUGUGUUGCAUUUGCCAAAAAUGAUGAUUUCUUAGCUAAUGA